rnacentral:rRNA from 1 species
CCUUGAAAUACCACCCUUUAAUGGCUGGUGUUCUAACGUAGACCCGUAAUCCGGGUUGCGGACAGUGUCUGGUGGGUAGUUUGACUGGGGCGGUCUCCUCCCAAAGAGUAACGGAGGAGCACGAAGGUUGGCUAAUCCUGGUCGGACAUCAGGAGGUUAGUGCAAUGGCAUAAGCCAGCUUGACUGCGAGCGUGACGGCGCGAGCAGGUGCGAAAGCAGGUCAUAGUGAUCCGGUGGUUCUGAAUGGAAGGGCCAUCGCUCAACGGAUAAAAGGUACUCCGGGGAUAACAGGCUGAUACCGCCCAAGAGUUCAUAUCGACGGCGGUGUUUGGCACCUCGAUGUCGGCUCAUCACAUCCUGGGGCUGAAGUAGGUCCCAAGGGUAUGGCUGUUCGCCAUUUAAAGUGGUACGCGAGCUGGGUUUAGAACGUCGUGAGACAGUUCGGUCCCUAUCUGCCGUGGGCGCUGGAGAAUUGAGGGGGGCUGCUCCUAGUACGAGAGGACCGGAGUGGACGCAUCACUGGUGUUCGGGUUGUCAUGCCAAUGGCACUGCCCGGUAGCUAAAUGCGGAAGAGAUAAGUGCUGAAAGCAUCUAAGCACGAAACUUGCCCCGAGAUGAGUUCUCCCUGAGAC